rnacentral:rRNA from 1 species
CCUACGGGUGGCAGCAGUGAGGAAUAUUGGUCAAUGGGCGGGAGCCUGAACCAGCCAAGUCGCGUGAGGGAUGACGGUCCUACGGAUUGUAAACCUCUUUUGCCGGGGAGCAAGCGUGCGUUCGUGAACGCUCGUCUAUAGUACCCGCAGAAAAAGCAUCGGCUAACUCCGUGCCAGCAGCCGCGGUAAUACGGAGGAUGCGAGCGUUAUCCGGAUUUAUUGGGUUUAAAGGGUGCGUAGGCGGGAUGCCAAGUCAGCGGUAAAAAUGCGGUGCUCAACGCCGUCGAGCCGUUGAAACUGGCGGUCUUGAGUGGGGGAGAGGUAUGCGGAAUGCGUGGUGUAGCGGUGAAAUGCGUAGAUAUCACGCGGAACUCCGGUUGCGAAGGCAGCAUACCGGAGCGCAACUGACGCUGAGGCACGAAAGCGUGGGUAUCGAACAGGAUUAGAUACCCCAGUAGUC